AUUGAACGCUGGCGGCAGGCCUAACACAUGCAAGUCGAGCGGUUGCAGGGCGCUUGCUCCUGGAUUCAGCGGAGGACGGGUGAGUAAUGCCUAGGAAUCUGCCUGGUAGUGGGGGAUAACGUCCGGAACCGGGCGAUAAUACCGCAUACGUCCUGAGGGAGAAAGUGGGGGAUAUUAGGACCUCACGCUAUCAGAUGAGCCUAGGUCGGAUUAGCUAGUUGGUGGGGUAAAGGCCUACCAAGGCGACGAUCCGUAACUGGUCUGAGAGGAUGAUCAGUCACACUGGAACUGAGACACGGUCCAGACUCCUACGGGAGGCAGCAGUGGGGAAUAUUGGACAAUGGGCGAAAGCCUGAUCCAGCCAUGCCGCGUGUGUGAAGAAGGUCUUCGGAUUGUAAAGCACUUUAAGUUGGGAGGAAGGGCAGUAAGUUAAUACCUUGCUGUUUUGACGUUACCAACAGAAUAAGCACCGGCUAACUUCGUG
rnacentral:rRNA from 1 species